AAAAAUUGACUGUAUGAUGUGAUCAUUAUAGUGAAACAUGGCUAUGGUAUAAAAUUCAACUGGAUUCAACAAUGUUCGGGGCUCGAUCAAAGCGGUCAACCCUAAUUCAUUUUCACUUCUCACACGAAAACUAUCUUACCUACCUCUUCGUGACCUAGUUUGGUGGAUUCUUCAAUACAAUAAAGUGUCACAUGGAUGAGACAUAACAACCCAUGUAAAACUUUGGGGCCGUUUACCACCCGAGGAUAGGGCUCUCCUUAGUGAAACAUAAGCGUAAAUAAGGUUGACCGCUUCGAUCGGGGCCCAAACAUUGGUAAAUUAAAGUGAUUUUUCCACCGUAGCUGUAUUUUACUAUAUCGAUCACAUCAUAUUUCACGAGAUUUUUGAAAAUUUUGCUUCCUCUAUAUAGUUUGUUCACAAAGUUGUACACUAGCAUAUAACCUAUCAAAUAAGUUAUACUACUUUAGUAGGCAUGUUAUGAUUUCGAUGACUAAAAUUCACAAAAUGAAAUUGACCGUAUGAUGUGAUCAUUAUAGUGAAACAUGGCUAUGGUAUAAAAUUCAACUGGAUUCAACAAUGUUCGAGGCUCGAUCAAAGCGAUCCACCCUAAUUCAUAUUCACUUAUCACACAAAAACUAUCUUACCUACCUCUUUGUGACCUAGUUUGGUGAAUUCUUCAACACAAUAAAGUCUCACAUAGAUGAGAUAUAACUACCCAUGUAAAACUUUGGGGACGUUUACCACCCGAGGAUAGGGCUCUCCUUAGUGAAGCAUAAACGUAAAUAGGGUUAACCGCUUCGAUCGGGGCCCAAACAUUGGUAAAUUAAAGUGAUUUUUCUACCGUAGCCAUAUUUUACUAUACAGAUCACACCCUAUUUCACAAGAUUUUUGAAAAUUUUGCUUCCUCUAUAUAGUUGGUUCACAAAGUUAUACACUAGCAUAUAACCUACCAAAUAAGUUAUAUCACGUUAGUAGGUACGUUGUGAUUCCAAUGACUAAAAUUCAGACGCAGUUGUGAAGUGGGUCCCGCCUGUGGUCCCGUGACAUUUUUCGGUGAAUUUUUCCGACACUGGAGCUAUUUUCUAUGCAUUUUUAAAGUUUUGAAAUGGUGGAAAAAAGUAAAACUUUAAUGACCUUGACAGAUUAGUGACUUAGGACGAAUGAGGUCUCAACAUGUGGCAAUUAGUGUUGAAUUUUCAGAAAAGGAAUCCCCCGAAAUGGAAACUUACAAUUCCUUUUAUAGUAGAUUUCCAUAAAUAGUAACUUUGUUUUAAAGCAUAACUAUCCCCCCAAAAUGAAAACUUACCCUUCCUUU
rnacentral:lncRNA from 1 species